AAUAGCCUCAUUUUUCGUUUUUCUGUAUCCAAUGUUUGAUCAUUCGUAUUAUUUGAAAAAUUUGUACAAAAACUUAAAAAAAAUAGUCACGUAUAAAGUACUAUUCAUAUUUUAUCAUCUACUAACAAUAAAAAUAUUAAUCGAAAAAAAUUCAAAUAAGACGAAUGGUCAAACGUUGGCCAUGGAAAAACGAAAACUGAGAUUAUU
rfam:Oryza brachyantha chromosome 12, whole genome shotgun sequence.